rnacentral:rRNA from 1 species
CUUGAACGCUGGCGGCAGGCCUAACACAUGCAAGUCGAGCGGAGCGGCGGACGGGUGAGUAAUGCCUAGGAAUCUGCCUGGUAGUGGGGGAUAACGUCCGGAAACGGGCGCUAAUAUCGCAUACUAUCAGAUGAGCCUAGGUCGGAUUAGCUAGUUGGUGGGGUAAAGGCCUACCAAGGAGCCGAUCCGUAACUGGUCUGAGAGGAUGAUCAGUCACACUGGAACUGAGACACGGUCCAGACGCCGACGGGAGGCAGCAGUGGGGAAUAUGGGACAAUGGGCGAAAGCCGGAUCCAGCCAUGCCGCGGGUGUGAAGAAGGUCUUCGGAUUGUAAAGCACGUUAAGUUGGGAGGCGUUACCAACAGAAUAAGCACCGGCUAACUGCGUGCCAGCAGCCGCGGUAAUAC